CGGCUCCAGCGGCGGACGGGGGAACUACGCGUCGACUUCAAUCAACAUUUUAUAUCCAUUCUUACGAAGUUUAUCCAUAGUGACUCAUAAGGAAUAGGAAUUGAAGAAGGAAUGGGGGAGAGCGAGCGACGUGAACGAGUGAGAGGAAGGAUGGCGGAAAGAAGACGCGGAGAAGGAACACGUGGAUGACGGUGCGGGGUGAAGCCAGCCGGCAGUCGGACACCCCUGAGGGUUGCCAGAUGAACAUCUAUCACCUUUGUUAGAAACGGGUCCUCUUACCUGCCUUCCUGAUAGAUAAGUGUGGCUGACAUGUGGCAGGUGUUGCAAGGGUAGGAAAAUAUAUGCAACAUUUGCCCGUGUUGGUACAGGUAAAUCAGAAGAUCCUACUGUUAAAUACAUUGGCGAGUUAU